rnacentral:rRNA from 1 species
UACGUAGGGUGCAAGCGUUGUUCGGAUUUAUUGGGCGUAAAGCGCGUGUAGGCGGUUUCUUAAGUCUGAUGUGAAAGCCCUGGGCUCAACCCAGGAAGUGCAUUGGAUACUGGGAGACUUGAAUACGGGAGAGGGUAGUGGAAUUCCUAGUGUAGGAGUGAAAUCCGUAGAUAUUAGGAGGAACACCGGUGGCGAAGGCGGCUACCUGGACCGAUAUUGACGCUGAGACGCGAAAGCGUGGGGAGCAAACAGG